GGAUAAUUUAAUCUUAGCAUUUGUAUUCAUGGUUUUUCCCCGCAGAAUUGAUCAAUCAGUUGUAUUCCUUGUGAGUUUUGCUGUACUGAGUAGUGAUCAACGGAAUUUUCAGAUAUUUCCACCAUCAUGGUCUCCUGAUCUCCCCAAUUUAAACUGGUAACAGCUGUCACGGUUUCUGAAAGUUCAAGUAUUCAGUCCUGAUUUUUCCUAUUGAAGUCAUUAUGGCCAACAGACAAACUUCGAUUACGGACUACGGUUGCAGCAGGAAUCGUGCACGACCGAGACGGUCGGAAUUUCUGAACCGCAUCCGGUAACUUGACAAUUUGUCAGUUUCUACACCUCAAUUGAUCGAGUGUAAGAUUUUACAAAAAAAUCAACCCCCGGGGGCUGUUGCUUAGCACCCAGACUUCGGUUUGUAGGCCUGAAAUGUACCAGUUGUGGGAACAGCUGCUCGAAAAAAGGAGAGCAGA